UACGAAGGGGGCUAGCGUUGCUCGGAAUUACUGGGCGUAAAGCGCACGUAGGCGGUCUUUUAAGUCGGGGGUGAAAUCCUGGAGCUCAACUUCGGAACUGCCCUUGAUACAGCACGUCUUGAGUCCGGAAGAGGUGGGUGGAAUUCCUAGUGUAGAGGUGAAAUUCGUAGAUAUUAGGAAGAACACCGGUGGCGAAGGCGGCCCACUGGUCCGGUACUGACGCUGAGGUGCGAAAGCGUGGGGAGCAAACAGG
rnacentral:rRNA from 1 species